rnacentral:rRNA from 1 species
AUUGAACGCUGGCGGCAUGCCUUACACAUGCAAGUCGAACGGUAACAGGUUAAGCUGACGAGUGGCGAACGGGUGAGUAAUGUAUCGGAACGUGCCCAGUCGUGGGGGAUAACUGCUCGAAAGAGCAGCUAAUACCGCAUACGAUCUACGGAUGAAAGCGGGGGAUCGCAAGACCUCGCGCGAUUGGAGCGGCCGAUAUCUGAUUAGCUAGUUGGUGGGGUAAAGGCCCACCAAGGCGACGAUCAGUAGCUGGUCUGAGAGGACGACCAGCCACACUGGGACUGAGACACGGCCCAGACUCCUACGGGAGGCAGCAGUGGGGAAUUUUGGACAAUGGGGGCAACCCUGAUCCAGCCAUGCCGCGUGCAGGAAGAAGGCCUUCGGGUUGUAAACUGCUUUUGUCAGGGAAGAAAUCCUUUGGGCUAAUACCCUGAGGGGAUGACGGUACCUGAAGAAUAAGCACCGGCUAACUACGUGCCAGCCGCCGCAGUAA